rnacentral:rRNA from 1 species
AUUGAACGCUGGCGGCAUGCCUUACACAUGCAAGUCGAACGGCAGCACGGGAGCAAUCCUGGUGGCGAGUGGCGAACGGGUGAGUAAUAUAUCGGAACGUGCCCAGUCGUGGGGGAUAACGUAGCGAAAGCUACGCUAAUACCGCAUACGAUCUAUGGAUGAAAGCGGGGGGUCGCAAGACCUCGCGCGAUUGGAGCGGCCGAUAUCAGAUUAGGUAGUUGGUGAGGUAAAGGCUCACCAAGCCGACGAUCUGUAGCUGGUCUGAGAGGACGAACAGCGACACUGGGGCUGAGACACGGCCCAGACUCCUACGGGAGGCAGCAGUGGGGAAUUUUGGACAAUGGGCGCAAGCCUGAUCCAGCAAUGCCGCGUGCAGGAUGAAGGCCUUCGGGUUGUAAACUGCUUUUGUACGGAACGAAACGGCGAGCUCUAAUACAGUUUGCUAAUGACGGUACCGUAAGAAUAAGCACCGGCUAACUACGUGCCAGCCGCCGCCGUAA